rnacentral:rRNA from 1 species
GCAAACUCGUUGCCACCGGCGGCGGUAAAACUAGGGAGGCAGCGUGUGUCCGGAGUUACUGGGCUGAAAGCGCACGAAGGCGGCUGCGUAAGUCGGACGUGAAAGCUCCUGGCUCAACGGGGAGAGGUCGUUCGAAACUGCGCGGCUUGAGGUUGGAAAAGGAGAGCGGAAUUCCCGGUGUAGUGGUGGAAUGCGUAGAUAUCGGGAGGAACACCAGUGGCGAAAGCGGCUCUCUGGUCCACACCUGACGCUCAGGUGCGAAAGCGUGGGUAGCGAACGGGAUUAGAUACCCCGGUAGUC